rnacentral:hammerhead_ribozyme from 1 species
AUCCGGCCGACGAGUCCGAAAUAGGACGAAACGCGAGUCCAGUAU